AUGAACGCUGGCGGCGUGCCUAAUACAUGCAAGUCGAGCGAACAGACGAGGAGCUUGCUCCUCUGACGUUAGCGGCGGACGGGUGAGUAACACGUGGAUAACCUACCUAUAAGACUGGGAUAACUUCGGGAAACCGGAGCUAAUACCGGAUAAUAUAUUGAACCGCAAGGUUCAAUAGUGAAAGACGGUUUUGCUGUCACUUAUAGAUGGAUCCGCGCCGCAUUAGCUAGUUGGUAAGGUAACGGCUUACCAAGGCAACGAUGCGUAGCCGACCUGAGAGGGUGUACGGCCACACCGGAACUGAGACACGGUCCAGACUCCUACGGGAGGCAGCAGUAGGGAAUCUUCCGCAAUGGGCGAAAGCCUGACGGAGCAACGCCGCGUGAGUGAUGAAGGUCUUCGGAUCGUAAAACUCUGUUAUUAGGGAAGAACAAAUGUGUAAGUAACUAUGCACGUCUUGACGGUACCUAAUCAGAAAGCCACGGCUAACUACGUG
rnacentral:rRNA from 1 species